GUCAACGGCCAUACUAUGCUGAAAGUACCGGUUCUCCUCCGAUCACCGAAGUAAAGCAGCAUCGGGCGCAGUCAGUACUUGGGAGGGUGACCACCUGGGAACACUGCGUGCUGUUGACA
rnacentral:rRNA from 1 species